GAUGAACGCUGGCGGCGUACUUAACACAUGCAAGUCGAACGAAGCAUUUGCGACAGAUUUUUUCGGAAUGAAGUUGCUUAUGACUGAGUGGCGGACGGGUGAGUAACGCGUGGGUAACCUGCCUUGUACUGGGGGAUAGCAGCUGGAAACGGCUGGUAAUACCGCAUAAGCGCACAAUGUUGCAUGACAUGGUGUGAAAAACUCCGGUGGUAUAAGAUGGACCCGCGUCUGAUUAGCUAGUUGGUGAGAUAACAGCCCACCAAGGCGACGAUCAGUAGCCGACCUGAGAGGGUGACCGGCCACAUUGGGACUGAGACACGGCCCAGACUCCUACGGGAGGCAGCAGUGGGGAAUAUUGCACAAUGGAGGAAACUCUGAUGCAGCGACGCCGCGUGAGUGAAGAAGUAAUUCGUUAUGUAAAGCUCUAUCAGCAGGGAAGAUAGUGACGGUACCUGACGAAGAAGCUCCGGCUAAAUACGUG
rnacentral:rRNA from 1 species